rnacentral:rRNA from 1 species
CUCAAAGAUUAAGCCAUGCAAGUGGUUAUCUUAACCCGACAGUUUAAAUAAGUGUUAAAAUGCUAUUCACACAUUAAUAGUAACAACAUAGUGAUAAUUCAUAUCACUUACGCAACUGCAGACAGCUGCUUAAUACAGUCACACUUGUCUUGACUUGGCACACCCACACAUACACACAAUAUGUGAUUUCUCUGUAUCGCACUUAUCUUAUAAGGACUUGCGUUACACCGUGACAAUUUUCUUUAUGGAUAACUCAGGGAAAGUUUGGCUAAUACGUACGAGUAUUUAUCACACACAUCACUCACUACUCAGCACUCAAUGGUAAACUUUGGUUACAUUCGUUCGCGAUUGUGCCAGUUUAAAAGUUUAACUGCAACAUGAGAGACAUUGAGCACGCACUGUGCGAUUUAUCGCGCAAUUCACGCUGAGCAGACUUUGCGAAGUUUACUUUGCGAAGCAUGUCAUACAAGCAUCUACAGCAUCAAGUCACAGGGUUGGCACGUGUAUUUUUGAACCUUCAAAGCAGUCACGCAUACGGAAGAGUAGUUUCUGAUCCCAUAGAAGGAGCACCGUACAAUGAGAGACCGCUCUUAGUUCUAAGGAACGCAGCAGGCGCGUAAAUUGCCCAAUGCUAGUACCCUACAAUUUUAUUUAUUGUAUUAUUACGCGUUAACAACAAUUUACCUACACACAUAGCANNNAANNCAUUUAUUCGUGUCACACACACACACAUCCUUGUUAACUGAUAUCAAUACGUAAAUAUUUAUUUAUUUACUGAGGCAGUGACAAGCUGUAACGGUUGAGUAUAAAAAUGACGAGUGUCUGGCAUUGCCGCUCCUUCGGGAGCUUGGCAAGUUGCCGACGCUUUGUGUGCUCAAUUGGAAUGCGGUGAGUUUAAGCAACUCAGAACCUUUGUACUGGUGUUAUGAAUUAAUUUCACUGUGCAUGUAUCUGAAUUUCAAGUGGAGGGCAAGUCUGGUGCCAGCAGCCGCGGUAAUACCAGCUCCACUGGCCUAUACAAUCAUUGUUGCGGUUAAGAGGCUCGUAGUUGGAUUGAACUGCAAUCACUCAGAGUUUAUUCUCUUUGCGUUUGUAUCUCGACGCUAUAACCAUAUUAUUAUUACGCACGUAAUAAUUUCCACACACGCACCACGCAUCGAUACGCUACAGAGAAUUUAUUCUCUCACACUUUCAACACUGUGAACAAAUCAGAGUGUAUCAAACAUGUCGUUUUUGAAUGUGCAUUGAAUGUCUUAUCAUGGGAUGUUGCACUAUUCAGCCUGUUGGAAAUUCACAUUACACGCACACACAAUAAUAAUUUCACAACGGUUAAAAAUGUCGAUGGGGAUAGUUGGAGUCAACAGUACUGCUGGGCGAGAGGUGAAAUUCAUUGACCCUAGCAAGACUACCUAAAGCGAAAGCAGUUGGCUAGGCUAUACUCUUUGUCUCACUCUAUAAUCACACACACAUACACACACAGAGUGACACUUUACAAUGAAGAACGAAGGUUGGGGGAUCAAAGAGGAUCAGAUACCCUCGUCGUCCCAUUAAUUACAUCAAACGAUGGGCUCUCAAUUGCAUUUUUUUAAUAAAAUUUGCAAAUCUCCUCAGCCGACAAAAUGACUUGGCUUGAGCUCGUAACUUUUCUUGUUACGCUCGCCACACUAUUUUCGUACGGUCUCGAUGGACGUUUCAUUUUAUUCUAUUUUUGCGUGUAAGCAUUGUUAUUAUUCUUUGAAACAUAAGAAUUUUACUGCGUGCACUUGAUUUUCGGAGCUUUGCGCUCAAUUCUGGUGAGAUGUAAGCACUAUGUUUAUUGUUACCCGCAGUAUAUUCCUUUGGGAAUUUUACUUGUCGUGUUCUGUAACUAAACAAUUUCGGUGUGAAGCACGCUUUAGGCACGCGCUUACUGCAGAAAUGUCUGAGACAUUGAUUUCCGGGGGUAGUAUGCUCGCAAGUGUGAAACUUGAAGGAAUUGACGGAAGGGCACCACAAGAACGCGUGGAGCAUGUGGCUUAAUUUGACUCAACGCGGGAAAUCUUACCGGGUCCGAACACACUGAGGAUUGACAGGUAUUAUCCAGUUACAGUUACACUCUAACUGGUGUUAAAUAUGCUAGUCCUUUCAUGAUUAUGUGAUAGGUGGUGCAUGGCCGUUCUUAGUUCGUGGAGUGAUCUGUCUGCUUAAUUGCGUUUCACUAAAGGCCCAUAUUUUAACGCAUGUUAUUGCGGCGCUUUGACCCCUCAUUAAUUUGAGCGUUGUGUCUUAGUCUUUUGCUUAGCAAUCAUGCAUUUGGGCCUUGAAAGCAACGAACGUGACCGCAACCUCUUGUUGCCUCUCGUACCAAUGUGCAAUUUCUAUUGUACAAAAAGAGGCCUUUUAAACUAGAGGGACCGCUGUUACUUUCUUAAACCAGAGGAAGGUUGCGGCAAUAACAGGUCUGUGAUGCCCUUAGAUGUUCCGGGCUGCACACGUGCUACAAUGAUUAUUGCAGUGAGCAUCUCAUUUUUAUUACACACCGCAUGCGCGAGUCCAUUUUUUCGGUUCGCCGCUUAAAAUGUGUAUCUCUGCGCGCGGUAAAGCCUGCUUCGAAAGUAAGUGGGUAAUCAAUUAGAAGUAAUGAUUUCCUUUUUUUAUUCGCACACAUAUAUACGGCAUCUUUACCCGGCCUGCCUUGUUGCAGUGUCUCUGUGUGUAUUGAUGUGAUUGUUAUUCAAUCAAUUAUCCGUAUGUGCAAUUGUCAAUUCAUGGUGGGGACAGACCAUUGUUAAUUGUUGGUCUCGGUCUUAACUAGGAAUGCCUUGUACGGGUCUUUGGUUCAACAAACCACCCGGAAUACGUCCCUGCCCUUUGUACACACCGCCCGUCGCUCUUACCGAUGGACUUCUCUGUGAGUUUGAGGGACUGGAACCCGUUCUAUGGAAACUUAAACGAACAGUGUGGUCUAAAGGAAAGAGAAGUCGUAACAAGGCAUCGGUAGGUGAACCU